rnacentral:rRNA from 1 species
AUUGAACGCUGGCGGCAUGCCUUACACAUGCAAGUCGAACGGUAACGCGGGGCAACCUGGCGACGAGUGGCGAACGGGUGAGUAACGCAUCGGAACGUGCCCAGUAGUGGGGGAUAGCCCGGCGAAAGCCGGAUUAAUACCGCAUACGACCUACGGGUGAAAGCGGGGGAUCGAAAGACCUCGCGCUAUUGGAGCGGCCGAUGUCAGAUUAGGUUGUUGGUGGGGUAAAGGCCUACCAAGCCUGCGAUCUGUAGCUGGUCUGAGAGGACGACCAGCCACACUGGGACUGAGACACGGCCCAGACUCCUACGGGAGGCAGCAGUGGGGAAUUUUGGACAAUGGGCGCAAGCCUGAUCCAGCCAUGCCGCGUGCGGGAAGAAGGCCUUCGGGUUGUAAACCGCUUUUGUCAGGGAAGAAAUCUUCUGGGCUAAUACCCCGGGAGGAUGACGGUACCUGAAGAAUAAGCACCGGCUAACUACGUGCCAGCCGCCGCAGUAAUAC